rnacentral:sRNA from 1 species
CAUUUAGAGGAAGUAAAAGUCGUAACAAGGUUUCCGUAGGUGAACCUGCGGAAGGAUCAUUAUCGUACAGCGGGAGGCCCGAGGCUGUCGGCUGACCCUCGGGGUCGUGCACGCCCUGGGUGUCCUCUCCAUCUCACCCUUGUGCAUCACCGCGUGGGCUUCGAAAGGGGGUUCGCGCCUUUCACACAGACACCCUUUUUAUGCUGUAUAGAAUGUCUUUACCUUUUGCGAUCACACGCAAUCAAUACAACUUUCAACAACGGAUCUCUUGGCUCUCGCAUCGAUGAAGAACGCAGCGAAAUGCGAUACGUAAUGUGAAUUGCAGAAUUCAGUGAAUCAUCGAAUCUUUGAACGCACCUUGCGCCCCUUGGCAUUCCGAGGGGCACACCCGUUUGAGUGUCGUGAAAUCCUCAACCUUCUCCGUUUGUUGAAUCGGGAAAGGCUUGGACCUUGGAGGCUUUUGCUGGCCCUUCAGCCGGCUCCUCUUAAACGAAUUAGCGGGGUUCCCUUUGCCGAUCCUCGACGUGAUAAGCCAUUUCUACGUCCGGAAAGGAGAGACCUGCUCCUAAUAGUCUCGUUGAGACCCUCUCUUGACCUCAAAUCGGGUGAGACUACCCGCUGAACUUAAGCAUAUCAAUAAGCGGAGGAAAAGAAACUAACAAGGAUUCCCCUAGUAACUGCGAGUGAAGCGGGAAAAGCUCAAAUUUAAA